rnacentral:rRNA from 1 species
UGCAAGUCGAACGCGUUGGCCCAAUUGAUUGAUGGUGCUUGCACCUGAUUGAUUUUGGUCGCCAACGAGUGGCGGACGGGUGAGUAACACGUAGGUAACCUGCCCAGAAGCGGGGGACAACAUUUGGAAACAGAUGCUAAUACCGCAUAACAGCGUUGUUCGCAUGAACAACGCUUAAAAGAUGGCUUCUCGCUAUCACUUCUGGAUGGACCUGCGGUGCAUUAGCUUGUUGGUGGGGUAACGGCCUACCAAGGCGAUGAUGCAUAGCCGAGUUGAGAGACUGAUCGGCCACAAUGGGACUGAGACACGGCCCAUACUCCUACGGGAGGCAGCAGUAGGGAAUCUUCCACAAUGGGCGCAAGCCUGAUGGAGCAACACCGCGUGAGUGAAGAAGGGUUUCGGCUCGUAAAGCUCUGUUGUUAAAGAAGAACACGUAUGAGAGUAACUGUUCAUACGUUGACGGUAUUUAACCAGAAAGUCACGGCUAACUACGUGCCAGCAGCCGCGGUAAUACGUAGGUGGCAAGCGUUAUCCGGAUUUAUUGGGCGUAAAGAGAGUGCAGGCGGUUUUCUAAGUCUGAUGUGAAAGCCUUCGGCUUAACCGGAGAAGUGCAUCGGAAACUGGAUAACUUGAGUGCAGAAGAGGGUAGUGGAACUCCAUGUGUAGCGGUGGAAUGCGUAGAUAUAUGGAAGAACACCAGUGGCGAAGGCGGCUACCUGGUCUGCAACUGACGCUGAGACUCGAAAGCAUGGGUAGCGAACAGGAUUAGAUACCCUGGUAGUCCAUGCCGUAAACGAUGAGUGCUAGGUGUUGGAGGGUUUCCGCCCUUCAGUGCCGGAGCUAACGCAUUAAGCACUCCGCCUGGGGAGUACGACCGCAAGGUUGAAACUCAAAGGAAUUGACGGGGGCCCGCACAAGCGGUGGAGCAUGUGGUUUAAUUCGAAGCUACGCGAAGAACCUUACCAGGUCUUGACAUCUUGCGCCAACCCUAGAGAUAGGGCGUUUCCUUCGGGAACGCAAUGACAGGUGGUGCAUGGUCGUCGUCAGCUCGUGUCGUGAGAUGUUGGGUUAAGUCCCGCAACGAGCGCAACCCUUGUUACUAGUUGCCAGCAUUAAGUUGGGCACUCUAGUGAGACUGCCGGUGACAAACCGGAGGAAGGUGGGGACGACGUCAGAUCAUCAUGCCCCUUAUGACCUGGGCUACACACGUGCUACAAUGGACGGUACAACGAGUCGCGAACUCGCGAGGGCAAGCAAAUCUCUUAAAACCGUUCUCAGUUCGGACUGCAGGCUGCAACUCGCCUGCACGAAGUCGGAAUCGCUAGUAAUCGCGGAUCAGCAUGCCGCGGUGAAUACGUUCCCGGGCCUUGUACACACCGCCCGUCACACCAUGAGAGUUUGUAACACCCAAAGUCGGCUGGGGUAACCUUUUAGGAGCCAGCC